rnacentral:misc_RNA from 1 species
GUGCAACAACUACACCACCAACCAUAGGAAGUGAUGGAGGAUCAGGAGUCCCAGUAAGUGGAAGUGUUGACUUAUUUAGGAAAAAAAAGAGAGGAAGGCCAAGAAAGUACGAUUCAGAUGGCAACCUGAGAGUUCAGCCCUUUCAUCAUCAGGCAGUGCCUGGAGUAACAUUAUCACCACCUGGUUUCUCCUUCUCUCCUCCUUCUGAUGGCUUAAUUUACUCUUCUUCGAAAAGGGGUCGAGGCAGGCCUCCUGGUUCUGGUAACUGGCAGCUACUUGCUUCUUUAGAUUUCAUCUCACAUAUAAAUUCUGAUCCUUGAAGGAGAGCUGUUUGCGAACACAGCAGGAGGGGACUUCACACCUCAUGUGGUAACUGUGAAUACUGGAGAGGAUGUUGCAGGGAAAAUUCUAUCAUUUGCUCAGAAGGGUCCUAGAGGAAUUUGUAUUCUGUCUGCCAAUGGAGCUGUUUCUAAU